GGGGGCGAAAUGGUUUCGACGGGAGUACGAAGCGAAGAGGCGCGUGCUGGGGUCCCCGCAGACCUCGUAAAAAAUGCGGGAAACAACAACUGGCAACCAGCCGGUCCUCGCCGCAGCCUAGCGCUGCGGCCGUCCCCCGCGGCUUCCGUCUGGAGCUGCGGUGUGGGCGCCACAAUCAGACUGCGCUCGUAGGAACCCAUUCCUGAGGGGUCCCAUGAGCUAAGACAAAACAGGAUCGGUCCGAGGGAGCCUGUCGACCGGCGCCCGAGGACUUAAAUCAAAUGGUUGGCUACGCACGUAGUGCCUCAAGCUGAAGACUGCCGGACCCGGGUUCGACUCCCGGCGCCUCCACCA
rnacentral:tmRNA from 1 species